UGUGUGUGGUUGGCACCAUUCUGCAUCUCAUAUUGCUAAGCCACCAGCAUUUAUCUGUGGUCAUUUAGGUCAAUUAUUAAAUCUUGUUCACUCAGAAUUUCUUUUACUCACUCAGGCAUUUAAGUCUCACUGACUUAAUGUGAUUUAGUAAUGACUCUCCUCUCUUUGCAGGAGUGGAGGAACCAGUACAUUCACUUGGAAUCAUGCGUCGAAGGAUCUGUGUUGGACACAGAAGGAAGUAGAGAGAGGAAGGGAAAGAAAGAUGCUCCCCUACUACCCUGACAUGUGCCCUGACCAGUAAUCCAACGUGGACCUCCUGGGGGACUUUUGCUGCUGCAUCAUUGAUGACAGAGAUUUUACAUCAGGUUCAUAUUUCGUGACCUUCAGAAAUAUGCACGAGCUACUACUUUCAUCCAUCAAGCUACUCCUAUUAAAGAGACUUAACAAAAUUCAUCACUGGGAGCAAAGAUUCACAAGUGCAUGUGGAUGAAAACAUGGAGAGUAACGCUGUUGCUGUUUUUUAAACAGAAAAAAUUUUCUGCAAUGGCAUUCCAAGUCCUCAAUAGGUCCUUUCAACAUUAUUGAAAUUGCUCUUCCCCUCUCUCGUCAAUCCAUGUCUAUGGUCUUUAAUGUAACUUGUUAUGUAAAAUUAUUUAUUUAACUAAGAUGCACCUACACUGAAUUUAUCUGAAAAAUAAAAAAGUCGAUAUUAAGAAAUAAAUUGUAAAUGGAAGUGUUAGGUCGGUGGGAUACAUGCAGGCAUGUGAUGAGACAAUGGACUUCCCCUGGAAUUUCUCACAGAUCAGCGCGCCAGACACAGAU